GAGCUCUGGAAGUAGAGCCAAGAAGGUAAACUGAGGCCUUUUCUGCAAUUAGACAUGGGAUAGGCCCUCUGUGAUGAGAGACGUAGGAAUAUCAGGCUCUUGAGAACAAGCACUUGCAAAUCUUUGAACUGAAAAUUAUGGCUUUAUCUCCAGGAAGCUCUUUGGCUUUUGACUCAAGCAGAGAUUCAGAUGGACUAUAAAUGGUGAUGAAACGUCCCAGGGAACAGAGCUGUAUGUGAAGAGAUUUGUGUGGAAAGGAAGAUUUUAGAAGUUUUUUUCAUCUUUCUUAACAUCCUCCCGAAGCAGCCCAACCUCACACUUCAAAGGAGCAGAGCAGAACUUUUACCUAAGGGAGGCCUUGCCUCUCCCAGCAGGCUUGGUUUCCAUACCAUGGUUUUUCUGGAAAUGUCCUCUUUCCAUACGCUACCUCUGAGUCACGCCUCAUUGAGAGUGAUGAUUAUGAUCUCUGGACGUUCGGAUGCUGCUGAGAAUCGGGAGGAUAUUUUGAGCCGUGGAAUUCGGGCUCUGCCACAUGUUUGGAUUAACAACCAGUUAAACCUUGCUAAGGCAAUAUUUUUCUAUGCAGUUAGUUUUUAUACCAAACAAGGUUUGUAGUAAUUGGAUGCCC
rnacentral:lncRNA from 1 species